UACGUAGGGGGCUAGCGUUGUCCGGAAUCAUUGGGCGUAAAGCGCGUGUAGGCGGUCCGGUAAGUCCGCUGUGAAAGUCGGGGGCUCAACCCUCGAAUGCCGGUGGAUACUGUCGGGCUAGAGUACGGAAGAGGCGAGUGGAAUUCCUGGUGUAGCGGUGAGAUGCGCAGAUAUCAGGAGGAACACCAAUUGCGAAGGCAGCUCGCUGGGACGUUACUGACGCUGAGACGCGAAAGCGUGGGGAGCAAACAGG
rnacentral:rRNA from 1 species